GCGACGGACAGCAAGCUUGCCGACGCGCAAUCUGGGUUUGAAAAGUCCAUGGCCAUCACCAUGGCCGUGCAGGCAGGCGCAAAUCUGAUCACUCAG
rfam:Pseudopelagicola gijangensis strain DSM 100564 genome assembly, contig: Ga0131178_102